GACGAACGCUGGCGGCGUGCCUAAUACAUGCAAGUAGAACGCACAGUUUAUACCGUAGCUUGCUCCACCAUAGACUGUGAGUUGCGAACGGGUGAGUAACGCGUAGGUAACCUGCCUGGUAGCGGGGGGUAACUAUUGGAAACGAUAGCUAAUACCGCAUAAUAUUGAUUAUUUCAUGAUAAUUGAUUGAAAGAUGCUAUUGCAUCACUACCAGAUGGACCUGCGUUGUAUUAGCUAGUAGGUGAGGUAACGGCUCACCUAGGCGACGAUACAUAGCCGACCUGAGAGGGUGAUCGGCCGCACUGGGACUGAGACACGGCCCAGACUCCUACGGGAGGCAGCAGUAGGGAAUCUUCGGCAAUGGACGAAAGUCUGACCGAGCAACGCCGCGUGAGUGAAGAAGGUUUUCGGAUCGUAAAGCUCUGUUGUAAGAGAAGAACGGGUGUGAGAGUGGAAAGUUCACACUGUGACGGUAUCUUACCAGAAAGGGACGGCUAACUACGUG
rnacentral:rRNA from 1 species